rnacentral:rRNA from 1 species
GAUGAACGCUAGCUACAGGCUUAACACAUGCAAGUCGAGGGGCAGCAUGGUCUUAGCUUGCUAAGGCCGAUGGCGACCGGCGCACGGGUGAGUAACACGUAUCCAACCUGCCGUCUACUCUUGGACAGCCUUCUGAAAGGAAGAUUAAUACAAGAUGGCAUCAUGAGUCCGCAUGUUCACAUGAUUAAAGGUAUUCCGGUAGACGAUGGGGAUGCGUUCCAUUAGAUAGUAGGCGGGGUAACGGCCCACCUAGUCUUCGAUGGAUAGGGGUUCUGAGAGGAAGGUCCCCCACAUUGGAACUGAGACACGGUCCAAACUCCUACGGGAGGCAGCAGUGAGGAAUAUUGGUCAAUGGGCGAGAGCCUGAACCAGCCAAGUAGCGUGAAGGAUGACUGCCCUAUGGGUUGUAAACUUCUUUUAUAAAGGAAUAAAGUCGGGUAUGGAUACCCGUUUGCAUGUACUUUAUGAAUAAGGAUCGGCUAACUCCGUGCCAGCAGCCGCGGUAAUACGGAGGACCCGAGCGUUAUCCGGAUUUAUUGGGUUUAAAGGGAGCGUAGAUGGAUGUUUAAGUCAGUUGUGAAAGUUUGCGGCUCAACCGUAAAAUUGCAGUUGAUACUGGAUAUCUUGAGUGCAGUUGAGGCAGGCGGAAUUCGUGGUGUAGCGGUGAAAUGCUUAGAUAUCACGAAGAACUCCGAUUGCGAAGGCAGCCUGCUAAGCUGCAACUGACAUUGAGGCUCGAAAGUGUGGGUAUCAAACAGGAUUAGAUACCCUGGUAGUCCACACGGUAAACGAUGAAUACUCGCUGUUUGCGAUAUACUGCAAGCGGCCAAGCGAAAGCGUUAAGUAUUCCACCGGGGGAGUACGCCGGCAACGGUGAAACUCAAAGGAAUUGACGGGGGCCCGCACAAGCGGAGGAACAUGUGGUUUAAUUCGAUGAUACGCGAGGAACCUUACCCGGGCUUAAAUUGCAGAUGAAUUACGGUGAAAGCCGUAAGCCGCAAGGCAUCUGUGAAGGUGCUGCAUGGUUGUCGUCAGCUCGUGCCGUGAGGUGUCGGCUUAAGUGCCAUAACGAGCGCAACCCUUGUUGUCAGUUACUAACAGGUUCCGCUGAGGACUCUGACAAGACUGCCAUCGUAAGAUGUGAGGAAGGUGGGGAUGACGUCAAAUCAGCACGGCCCUUACGUCCGGGGCUACACACGUGUUACAAUGGGGGGUACAGAGGGCCGCUACCACGCGAGUGGAUGCCAAUCCCCAAAACCUCUCUCAGUUCGGACUGGAGUCUGCAACCCGACUCCACGAAGCUGGAUUCGCUAGUAAUCGCGCAUCAGCCACGGCGCGGUGAAUACGUUCCCGGGCCUUGUACACACCGCCCGUCAAGCCAUGGGAGCCGGGGGUACCUGAAGUGCGUAACCGCGAGGAGCGCCCUAGGGUAAAACUGG